rnacentral:lncRNA from 1 species
GCUGUUUCCAAAACUAUCAGGCAGAAUUUGAUGAAUCAACAGACUGAAUAACCCACUGCUUAUUUCCUGAAACAAAGAGCACCUGUAACAUAGAAGGGGUAACUGCCUGGCAAGAGGCUGGUAUAGAUGUAUACAAAUGUUGGGUCUGGGAAGAGAGCUAGGGACAAGUGGCUACACAAAUCCAAGUGCUGUUGAAAUGUCAGAUGGUAAAAACAACCCAAGAGUUCCAGAUGGGGCAAUUAGAAGAGAAACAUGCUGAAGAUGAUAAUAAGAAAAUUCUGGAUUCUCUCAAGUGGGAGUCCCAUGUCCUCACCUGUGACUUCCAAAUGCAAUCACUGUUCAAGUCUUGUGCAAAGCAGCACACCAUGAGGAAGUUCUUCAUUAUCAGGUGUCCCCUCAUUUGGCCAGAAGUGUUUGACCAAACUGUGGAAGGUCUGUGUCAUGAGGAGUUCAGAGGAGAUGUCACAGAGCAAUUUGCUGUUGAGUGGGAAGUCAUGAAGAGUUUGCAGUCUGGCUGCGGUGCUGAUACAUAUGACAGGCUGGUAGAAAGGAGACAAGCUUGCGAGAGCUGCAAUGUGGUGGUGUGUUUGAGGUAUGUGAACACAGAACAAGUGCCCAAGCAUCUGGCUUUUAUGUUGGUCUUUGUGCAAGCAUUGCUUCUCUGGUGUUUGGUCUGGCUCAUCUAGAGGCAGGCAUACACUUAGACUGCAGACCCACUGCCAAUAAUGUUCUUUCUGAAGUGAUUGCGAGGUAAGUCAAUUAUGUCAUUCCUCUUAGAAUGGGAAGUAUUAAUUAGGUGAAUUAGAGAUGCAGAGCAAAAAUGAUCAAAGCAGGUGAUGAAACGGGGUACCAAGAUAUACAGUGUGGUUUAAUGCUCAUGAUGCCUGUUCACUGUGAAUGUCUUUGAAGAUGGGUGAUACAUAACAUUUCUAAUUGAUUACAUUAGCAAGAGUGUUAUCUGGAGGGCAUUUGAUGGAGAUUCAGGAAACCUGGCUCUGUUUCUUGGUGUUUCAUUGGCCAUCUGAGCAAGUUAAUUCCUUUUCCUGUGC